UGGUUCCCCCCUCAAAACCUGUAGCUAAAGAGAACUGGCCUAUUUACUGUAGAUCUGCCAGCCACAUUCUGUACAUGGGGAAUUUUCUACUCUCCCAAGACUGAAGGUACCUUCUUGGGAACAUCACUGGAUCCUGUUUACUUUCCAGGUGGACUGAAGGUUUGCUGCAUCCAAAGGCUGUGGUGUACUGUUCUGGAAGUAAAAUAAAUUGGCUCAUUGAAACCAGCUCUGGAAGAAAAGCUGAAAUUUGGCCAGAAAUAGAUGAUCUUUAAGGAGUACCUAAAGCUAAGGUUGUACAGCGUGAUUACAAAUAAUAGAUAAAUUUUUUCAAUUUUCUUCAAACAUGCUAAGGUGCUAAAUAAUGAAAAUUUUCACCAGUA